UUCAUUGACAAUACAUUGUCUAAAAUGUUUCCUCUACAUAUUUUGAGAAUCACAUUAGUCAGUGUUAUAAUUUUUGCUUCAACAAUCAAACAUAAUUUAGAAAACUCAAGAAGAGAAGUCUGUUGUACUUAUCUACGUUUUUACUCUUUCUGUUGUUCCUUUUCUCUUCCUGAUGUUUCAUGAUUGCCUCUAAUUGUUUCUGUUUAAAGAGUUCCUUUAGACAUGCUUUUAGGGUUGGUCUGCUGGUGACAGAUUGUUUUAGUUUUUCUUAAUAUGAGAAUGUUUUGGCCGGGCGCGGUGGCUCAAGCCUGUAAUCCCAGC